UCUCUGUCUACUUUUCUUACUCCAUGUAGGUUUUUCAAAGACUAUGGGUUGAGGAGGAAGUGGAAGCAGCUCUGAGGAGAGAGGGGUUUGCUGCAAAUGAUGAGUGGGUGCUCUGCAGUGAUCAUUUUAAACCUGAUGAGUUUGACAGGGCUGGGCAGGUCUGUCGGCUUAGACCUGGUGUCAUUCCAUCAGUGUUAAACUUCACGGCUCAUCUUGGAAGAGUACGUGCCAGAAAGACCACGACCAAGCAGCCUUGAGAUCUUAGACAGCAUCUCCCUGAGGUCCCUCUCUAUCUCCCCACACAUCCACCAACCACUGGAACACAUCUCCAAAGUUCUGCUGGGCCAGCUCAGCUUCCCCUCAGAAGAAGUGCUGCCAUCGUGCCAGAUGAAGGAGCCUUUUGAGAGGCAGCUGGCAUCAUGAUUGGACUGUACUUUGGUCUGUUCCAAUCCAGCUUCAGCUCCAGAGACGGCAGGCGGGACGAGUCAACGGAGGCCGGGUGGACGAAGGCAUGCAGCUGAGUACAAUCCAGAAAACAACAGAGGAGGAGUGCAGCGGCCCAGAGCCAGAACAACCAGAGUAGCAUCGUAUGUCUCUUAGAAAACAUCAUAGUAUAGCCUUUGGUAUGAAAAAACACCAUCAUAUACAUCAUAUAUUGUACAAGUAACAAGUCAAAGGAAAGAGACAUACAUUGUAGAAUUGUAGUAAUUGUGGGCUGACUGAUUUACUGAUUAUCAGUAUUUUAUUUUUUACUGAUUUACGGUAAUAAAUACAUUUAAAAAUGGCGCUA